rnacentral:tRNA from 2 species
UGCCCUCGUAGCUCAGUAGGUAGAGCGCUCGACCUUUAAUCGAGUGGUCGUGAUUUCGAAUAUCACCGGGGGUAA